rnacentral:antisense_RNA from 1 species
AGUAAGAGAAUAAUGCAGGAAAACGCAGAGUAAAAGAAACGUGAAGCCGUCGGGGAGAAUAUCGGGGGUAUAGUGAUGUAAAUCAGAAACAGAAGAGAUAAUUCAUGGUGCGUCCGAGUGGACUCGAACCACCGACCCCCACCA